rnacentral:rRNA from 1 species
UACGUAGGGGGCAAGCGUUGUCCGGAUUUAUUGGGCGUAAAGAGCGUGUAGGCGGCCACACAGGUCAGCUGUGAAAACUCGAGGCUCAACCUCGAGACGUCGGUUGAAACCGUAUGGCUAGAGUCCGGAAGAGGAGAGUGGAAUUCCCGGUGUAGCGGUGAAAUGCGCAGAUAUCGGGAAGAACACCCGUGGCGAAGGCGGCUCUCUGGGACGGUACUGACGCUGAGACGCGAAAGCCAGGGGAGCAAACGGG